rnacentral:snoRNA from 1 species
CACCUCUCGGGAUCGCACCUGAAGAGUUUCCAGUACUCUACCAGUCUCGACUACAGGAGGGAGAGUCAAGCAGAGGACUAUCCAUUCCAUUCCUAGCUUGGGCAGGGGCUAGAGAGUGGAAGGUCAUCUGCUACAAGU